CAGACUGGAUCGACAGGGAACAAUCAAUCCAGUGGGGGUUGAUUUAUCGCGUCUAGUUUAGACUAGAUAAUUUGACUGCCGAGAGGUUGCCUGUUUAUUCUGCUAUUCCAGCAAAACGGAAAGGGUGUGUGAAGUCGAUGGGAGAGCAUCAGCUGUCAACUUACUGCUGUGACGAUACCAUGGAGCUGAGCCCUCUUCAGACAGCGGCCGAGCAGACUAACAUCUGACUGCCUGAGGAGGCUGAAGGCUCUGAGGAGUUACCAGAGAUGACACCGCCCAACUGCCAAGCAGCGAGGUGGAGCCUGGUGCCAACACAGCAGUGUUAGAGUGAGCAGCCAAUCUGCCAUGGUAACUACAGUCUUGAAAGUCGGGGGUGACGGAGGAGGCGAUCCAGCUGUGGGGUAUGAAUUCCUGGUGCUCUCAAUGGGACGGUCCACGUAGGCCUGCCUGCUACAACAAGAUAAGCUCCUAGCACCGUGAGGCCCUGAUCUCAGCUAAGGCCAGUAGGCACGACUGCAAAGCAAAUCCAUAAUAACUCCACUGCAGCCGUGAUUCCCAUCUGCCGUUAGCAAAGAGCACUGGAACCGCUGUCGGUCUGAAAGCCACCAAAAGUUGGUCAGUUUGUCAUCCGUCUGGAUUCAUCUGUUGGCACUCCUCCCGGUACCUCCCAAUCCCAUCUCCGACCUGCUCCAUCAUGCCUCAGCAGCCUCCUCCUUCCAUUCUCCCUUGAAGCUCGCCUGUUCCAAAAGGCCAGUGGCGCCCCACAGGGAAGUGGUAACGAAGCCAGCCAGCGGGAAUCCAAACAGACGCCCAGAAAAGUUCCAGACAGAACAAACGGAGUUAACAAGAAGGGAGCGCAUCUCAAGCUGGGAUUCCGGCUCUCUUCCCCUGCCCCCUGGUUAACCCAGUGGGAGCAGUCCGUCAGCCCCAGGGCACAAAAGCAGCUGCCACCUCAGCUCCCCCCUAUGCUAAGAUGAAGUGUAGAGCAGAUACUAAAGCCAGCAAAGAGGGUGUAGCUGGCGCUGCACUACAGGCUGCAGGGAAGGAAACAGGGCUGGCUCAUGUGGGCUCUGUUAGGUCAGCGGGUGAUCAGCGGUGUCACCGGUAUAAAUAACCCGUCGAGCACCUCAGAGCAGUAGAAAUAAAACUCAUGAAGGAUUGGGUCCGUCAAUGGCCAUUAGCCAGGAUGGGCAGGGAUGGUGGCCCCAGU